GAUGAAGAACGCAGCAAAAUGCGAUAAGUAAUGUGAAUUGCAGAAUUCAGUGAAUCAUCGAAUCUUUGAACGCACAUUGCGCCCGCUGGUAUUCCGGCGGGCAUGCCUGUUCGAGCGUCAUUUCAACCCUCAAGCCCCCGGGUUUGGUGUUGGGGAUCGGCUCUGCCCUUCUGGGCGGUGCCGCCCCCGAAAUACAUUGGCGGUCUCGCUGCAGCCUCCAUUGCGUAGUAGCUAACACCUCGCAACUGGAACGCGGCGCGGCCAUGCCGUAAAACCCCAACUUCUGAAUGUUGACCUCGGAUCAGGAAGGAAUACCCGCUGAACUUAAGCAUAUCAAUAAGCGGAGGA
rnacentral:misc_RNA from 1 species